UACGUAGGGUGCAAGCGUUAAUCGGAAUUACUGGGCGUAAAGCGUGCGCAGGCGGUGAUGUAAGACAGGUGUGAAAUCCCCGGGCUUAACCUGGGAACUGCAUUUGUGACUGCAUCGCUGGAGUGCGGCAGAGGGGGAUGGAAUUCCGCGUGUAGCAGUGAAAUGCGUAGAUAUGCGGAGGAACACCGAUGGCGAAGGCAAUCCCCUGGGCCUGCACUGACGCUCAUGCACGAAAGCAUGGGGAGCGAACAGG
rnacentral:rRNA from 1 species